UACAGCUACACACUGACAUUAGGAAUCUGCAGCAGCAUCGUGGACAUGUAUACGAGUGUGAGAAACCAAACCGAGGACUGGUCAGUGCUAAACAAUGGACAGAAGAGCUUGAUGGAUUAAACAUGGGUGUUUCUCUUCUUUUGGUGAUCUUCCUCUUAUGCUGUACUGAAGGUGAAACUCAGAUGAAACUGUCCCCCUCGACCCUCACAGUCCUCAGAGGUUCUGAGGCUCGCUUCACUUGCAGUCCUGGAAACGCCCGGUGGACUGUCAUGGUGUGGAUCCUGAAUGGGAAAGCAGAACUAACCAUCUCCAGAAACAAUGGCGUCCUGCCCUGGCUUAAUCCAAAUGUGACGGCAGAGAGAGGUCCCAACUCAAGGGGGGAGAGCUGGGUGUUUGUCCUUAGGAGCACGGAGAGACACAACCAUGGUCAGGUGACCUGUGAUCUUCAAGGCAUCGAUACUAAAACGGCAAACCUGUUUGUGCAAGAAAAAGGCAGUGUGAAAGUCCUUGGGGAAGAAAAGCUGGCUUUUAAAGGACAGACCAUCUUAUUCCAGUGUGAGGGCACAGGAUGGUACCCUCAACCCACUGUGCAGUGGCAGGUGAACAACAAAACGGUGAUCCAGGGGGAUUUUAACACCAGCAGUGAAGAGUUGGUGAAUAAUCUCUUCAGUGUGAACAGCAACUUCAGUGUGAGGGCAGCAGUGAGUUCCCAUGUGGACUGCCUGGCCUCUGUCUCUGCUUUAUCUACGCCGCUCAGGAGCAGCACCCGUCUGUUAGUGUUUGCUGAAGUGGUGCAGGAUGUAGACGACUGCACAGUCCCUCUGGCAGUGACCGCCUCCCUUUGUGCUCUUCUGCUGCUCAUUCUGCUCUGCAUCUGCACUGUCCUCUACUACAGGCAAAGGAGACAAGCAAAAGACAGACCACAGGAGGGCAUAAGAUUUAACCAAUCAGUGGCUGGGAACAACCUGGUUGUUGAGGCACCAGGAGGGAGGGUCAACAAAGGAUACUCCAGCGAGAGUCGUGCAGAUGCAGCUUACAAUGAACUAAUCAUGGAAACUCAUAGCCAGACGGACUGUGUCAGCUUUCCCAAGGUCCCUGAUGCCAUGUCAUCCCACAGCCCGUCUCUGCAGAGUGAGGCCCAGGCAUCCCUAUCAGAAGAAAACUUCAAAAGUGUCAGGAGGAUCACCACUGUCUAAAUAUGUUUAUUACACAUGGUUACAUAUUUGGUUACUUUUUUUGUUCCAUUUCAUUGACUUGUGAAGAUAAUCACUGAUACUAAUGAUCCAAACCUAUAGUAUGUAGUAUUAAUAUGUCUGGACAGUGUGUACUACACGCUGUGUAGUAGUAAAUAUGCCACUCAAUGUUACUGACAUUUUUUAUGCUUCAAUAGCUGCAUUUCCAUUACCCUUGGAAAUGCGCAAAAUCUAAAUAAUGCAAUAAAAACUGCUAAAAGGAAACGUCUGAAUUUAGA
rnacentral:lncRNA from 1 species